rnacentral:rRNA from 1 species
UUGCCUGCUAUCUCUUACCCAUGUCUUUUGAGUACCUUCGUUUCCUCGGCGGGUCCGCCCGCCGAUUGGACAAUUUAAACCAUUUGCAGUUGCAAUCAGCGUCUGAAAAACUUUAAUAGUUACAACUUUCAACAACGGAUCUCUUGGUUCUGGCAUCGAUGAAGAACGCAGCGAAAUGCGAUAAGUAGUGUGAAUUGCAGAAUUCAGUGAAUCAUCGAAUCUUUGAACGCACAUUGCGCCCCUUGGUAUUCCAUGGGGCAUGCCUGUUCGAGCGUCAUUUGUACCUUCAAGCUCUGCUUGGUGUUGGGUGUUUGUCUCGCCUCUGCGUGUAGACUCGCCUCAAAACAAUUGGCAGCCGGCGUAUUGAUUUCGGAGCGCAGUACAUCUCGCGCUUUGCACUCAUAACGACGACGUCCAAAAGUACAUUUUUACACUCUUGACCUCGGAUCAGGUAGG